UUUAAUUAGUAUAAAAAGUACAUUUAAUUUCCAAUUAAAUGGUUUCUAAAGAAAUUAAAU
rnacentral:tRNA from 1 species